UUUAUAUCAGAGGUCAGAGGUCAGGGUUAGUAGUAGUACCUCUAUACUGUAACUUUAUAUCAGAGGUCAGGGUUAGUAGUAGUACCACUAUACUGUAACUUUAUAUCAGAGGUCAGAGGUCAGGGUUAGUAGUAGUACCUCUAUACUGUAACUUUAUAUCAGAGGUCAGAGGUCAGGGUCAGUAGUAGUACCUCUAUACUGUAACUUUAUAUCAGAGGUCAGUGGUCAGGGUUAGUAGUAGUACCUCUAUACUGUAACUUUAUAUCAGAGGUC